AUCUAACUGACGUGUCUCAAAUAGGACGAAACCCGUGUCAUGGUU
rnacentral:hammerhead_ribozyme from 1 species